GACCACCCUUUAGGGUUCAAGGCCAUACGGACAGCCUGGUCCACUGCCGA
rnacentral:sRNA from 1 species